UUUUUAGUUUAAUAAAGCCUGUAAACAAGCAGUGACUGAACACAGAAUAUGGAUGUGGAAGGGUUUGUGUCCUCAAUCUGGAAGGGCAGAGAGAAAUCCCUUAGCCAAAAGAAAUGACAGAUCAUGGAAUUCAUGCCCAUACUCUCAAAGUCCUGCUUUCAUCAGGAGAGAAGCAACUGUAAACAUGUCAACUCACUCUAAAGACCACAAUCAUUGUGGCUAAAAUUCAAUUUAAUGCAAGACACAAAGCUGACAAGUCUCAGAGACAAACAUCCUCUUAAACACCCUCUAGCACACCUACACACAAGGUGGCUUCCCAUUUCAGUGGGUGAGCCCCAUAAGACUGGUUUAUACAUGCAUGUGUUUGCACAUAGUUGAACAUUCCUAAUACAUGUGUAAGAGUUUUAAAGUUAAACACACCUUCAUUUUAAAAAGAAAGAAACAGACCCAGAAACCUGCUAUUGUUUGCCGAAAGUCUCAGUUAUCAAUGAAAUUAAGACUCCCAAGAGUAAUGAUGCUACAUACAUUUCCUGCAGUUAAGAAAAAGACACCCUGGAAGAAAUAUAAGAAAUUUCACCAUUUAACAUCGAUGUCUAGGACUGCAUUCAGAUAGCCCAUAAGCCUUAGAAAAUGUAAACAGUAUACUUCAUGAAGUUAGAGAGAAAAGGAUUCGUGAAAUGGAAUUCCCUACAUGUUCCAUGGUUUCACAUCCAUUUCUCUCUCAUUCGUGGUACCACCUUGUUCUCUCUCUCCCUCCCAUCCUUUCUGUGGUUAUCUAAAUUUUAAGCAUGUACAGCACUGCAUAAUCAAAGGUCUCCAUGUUUCAGGUGACAGAUGCAGUUCUCCUUUCUCAAUACAAUGCACACAUAUUUGUAUUUUAUAUAUGUACCUGGGCAGCAAGAAAAGGCCUGAAUACCGUACUGUUCAGAUGUAAGAAGACACUCUUGAGACACUGUUGUGACCCCCGCUCCUAAACUGAGUGGUGACUCUAAAGGGGGAGGCUAACAAAGUGAGAGCUGCAAAGACUUGUCAACCAUCGAAGGUUUCUGAGCGUGCAACGGUCCAGGCUAAUUAGGACCCAGGCAGUAGUGAGGGCAGGUCUUCUGGCAGCACAUCGCACCCUGCAUCUUGCGAUGGUCCUGCAGCUCUGAACACACAGCAUGUGUACUGUGCACUGCACAUGCCAUGCAUGCACAGCCCUCCCUACUGUGUGAAGGGCCUCAGUGUGGACUCCAGGCUACAGGACAGACAGCAGUGCUCUGCUGCUCACUGGUGUCUGCACUUACGUAUGUAGCACAGUGGUUUGAUUACAAAACAAAGACUGUUAAGUAUUUUCCUACUGCCAUUUCUCAACGUGUAGCAUGUUCAUAUAUUUUUUGCAAUGUACUGUGUUAAAAAUAUUUACUUUUUAAUUUCUAUCAUGUUACUGAUGAGGUUUCAAUCAGGAUUAGAAUAGAAUUUCCAAUAUUCUACAUUAGGGAUUGUUGUUAAUGGCAUGCUCAGCAUUGAUAAUUGUAAAUGAUUUUAUAACUGAUAAGCAAUCAGCUUUAAAAAACAGUGAGUAUGCUCUUUUUCUGUAGUCUUCAAUAUUCAACCAGAGUUUAAGUUUUAAAAAAGAAAAAAGAAAAAACAAGUACACCCAUCUCCUUGGUGUGCGUGUUCGCUUUCAUCUGAAUAAAAGGAAACUACAUGCACAUCAAACAACGGCUGAAAUGUAUUCACGAUUAUCAGUGCUUGAUUUGUAUACCUAUGUUAUACGCCUAUAAGCUGGGGGUCACAUAAAAAUGUCUUUAGUGAAAAGGAGCCUUGAGUGUGAAGUUUCGCAAGGCCCAGGUUUAGAGUUGAUUAAGAGCUCAAUUACUCCCACACCAAAUACAGAACAUAUAUAGACUCAGACAUUUCUAGUAAAGUGCAGCAUGCUUUUUAUUUUGUAUGUCUCAAAAUAGCACUUCCUGAGUGAUAUCUAAAAUCACAACACAUCUAUGAACAGUGCACCCAUCAGCACUGUCACACACAGCACUGUGAACAGAGUAGCACUGCACCCACUAGUGCUGUCACACACAGCACGUACCCCCUUUCAGCUUCUAUUCUGUCAGAGGAUAGAAACCAAAGGGCGUACAACAUUUGGCUACCUAUUAUUUUAAAGGGCAAAAGAUUAUCCUAUGGCGCCAAAAAUACACAUGCAUAGGGCAUUUUACUUAUAUUCUAUUUGGUCACAAAGUGACAGUCUCAGUAUUUUAUUGGUGUGACUGUCUACUAUAAAUGUGUAUCCUACAUGUAUAUAGCUCAGUAGGAUUAGUCCGAUGUUGAAAGAACUAGAUUAACAGAAAAACCACAGACACCUAUGUAAGAUACUGCGCAUUCAUACCAGUACCAUCUUAUCAUCUCGAGAAGAAGCAGAAUCACUUCCUUUUAAAAAUCCUUUUUUAAAAAGGGUCUUAGUCUAGACCAGGUUGGCUUGGAGCACACUAUAUAUACACCCGGGCUGGCCUAGAACUUACAAUGAUCCUCCUGCCUCAGUCUCCUGAGUGUUGGGAUUACAGGAAUGAGCCACCACACCUGUCAAAACUAGAGUUUUAAAAGUUCAGUGAUGAAUUAACUUCCUUCUCCAAAGCACAUGCAACCAGUCCAGAAGUGUACAGCUAUUUCCCAGUUUACCCACAGUACAGGAACAGAUGGAAACACACGAGGGGUCCCAGGUCAAUGAAGAGUUAAACAAAGAUCCAUAUUUUAUCCUUUCUUGGGUAGAGAAUAGUAAUAAUUUGUAAGCAAAGCCUCUACAAGCAGACAAGUAUCUGAGCUCUUAGUGGACACGGUUAGCCUAGCUCAGGGUUGUGGGAGAAAAGAUAAAGUGACUAUUUACACUAUUUUUUUCCUGGCAACUUCCUAUUUUGUACUGGUUCAUUCAAGAGGAAGGAAAUGGUGGACUGCCAAAUGUGACUUUAGUAGUGGUCACAGAGAUUUCAGAGUUUGGAAAGAACUAGGCUAUGGUAUUUAUGAUAGUCUUCAGAUUUACCAGUGCUCAUUCACUGGACAAAGCAGAGAGCUCACACCUGCCUCUUUAACAUAAAUCUAACAUCCUAAAUGUUACUGAGGAAAAAGAAUAAAGUAUAACACACUUUGCCUAGAAAAUAAUGGCAAACUAGCUUAAAGUUAUAAAUGCCUACAUUUACACAUAUAAAGGCAAUCUAAUUGAAAUCACCAAAUAAUGGGAGAAACAGAGCCCCAACUGGUCAACUCUUGUCACUAAAUGAAGCUUCCAGUAUUGGGAAUCUUCAACAUCUACUUGAGUGCUGGUCAAAAAUAUCCUGUGAGAAUCCCCAAACAAUCUAGGCUAAGACUACAGGUUUCUCUUCACAAACGGACAGCAAGGCCUCAUUACUGAAGGCAAUAUCUAUACAACUCAUUCACCACAGAGAAGCUGAGCUGGUGCCUCCACAGAGCUUUCACCCUACGGUCUAGCUAGUGUCUUUAGUACAGAAAGGUAUUCUGCAUGUGACCCAUGAGAAAUGUGAAUACCAACCCAACCACAAACCCUUGAAAUGGCAAUGGUGUCCUUGCAAGAGACACUAGGGCAACGGUGGCACAAAGCUUGUGGGAGUAACCAACCAAUGUCUGGUUUGACUUAAGACACAUUCCAUGAGAGGGAACCUGAUACUGCUUGAGUGACCAAGAAUCUGAGACUAGUUGGCCCAAGGACCUAGAGUUAAACCAAAUACUACUAAAAGACAGACAGACAGACAGACAGACAGACAGACAGACAGCACUAGCGAACAGCUAGCAAUAAAAUGACAAAUGACUCCUAAUGACAUUCUGCUUCACUCAUAGAUGAGUGCCCUGCUCAGCCAGCAUCAGAGAAGCUUCCUCCUGCAACAGGUGUGAAACAAAUAGAGACCCACAGGUAGGUGUUAUGCAGAGUGAGAGACCUUGGAACACUCAGUUCUAAAAUGGGAGGUCUCCAUAAAAUCCCUCCCUCGGGUCAGUCAGAAAUGGAGGCAGAGAAUACUAGUAAGAGCCAGAGGGGAUGGAGGAUACCAAGAACACAAAGUCCUUCAACUCAACAUGAGCAAAACACACCUGACCUCAGAGACAGCAAACACGGCCUGAACCAGGUCCUUUCCUUUCCAGUUUACUGUUUUCUUGGGAGCCCAGAGUGUGUGGUGAGACAAGCUGUGUCAUGUCUUGGCUUCUUCCGUUCGUUUUAUCCAUUCCAGUGUGUUAGUUUUAUCUUAUUAUAAAUCUGGAUGGGGGGGGGGGGUGGAGAGGAACCGGGAAGAACGGAGGCAGGGGAACCAGGAUACAUUAUGAGAGGAAAAACUAUUUUCAACUGAAAAAAAAAAACCACAGAGAUCUCAAACGAAUAACUUAAUGAUGCACCUCAGAGCCUUAGUGGAAGAAGCAGCAGCCAGAUUCCAAAUGAGUUCAAAGCUUAAAUUAUGUACAACAAAUGUUUAUUGGCACCAAAUAAUGUCAAAUAUGCAAAAACAGUCGAUAAAACGCAUUGCUGUAUUUAACAACAGCACAUCCUUCAAGUGCUUAUAGUCAAAUUUCAAUGAACAACAAAGGUUAUCUCUUUCUGUAGGAAGAGUUAGACAGAUCUCACCUGUACUUACCAUUUAUUACUCUUUUAAACAUAAGUCUUAAAUCAAAAAAUCACAUGCCUGAUGAGUCCACCUCACUCCUGGAAACCCUGUAGAGUUGGCUAAUACAAGGAGGAUCUUCUCAGUCAGUGGCUGGUAUCUCUGAGGAACAGUCCCAAAGAUAAGGAGGCUGUGUUUUGCUUUUCUGCUGAAAUGCUACAAUACUAACUAUAUUUUUAGCAUGCUUAUUACAUGAAUUGUACAUUAGAGAUGGGUUAAAUAAAAGCUAUUAUAAAUUCUGAAAGUACUAAGUUUUUCAUUUUAAGGAACAUUACUCACAACACAAAAAAUACCAGCAAGGGGUUGGGGAUUUAGCUCAGUGGUAGAGUGCUUGCCUAACAAGCGCAAGGCCCUGGGUUCAGUCCCCAGCUCCAAAAAGAAAAAAGAAAAAAAAAAUACCAGCAAACUACAUCACUUAAAAGUUUUUGCAAAAGUUUGGAUGAAAUCUGAGAUUCUAUAGCACUUGAUGAAGUUUUCGUUGGCCUCUGCUUUUCUCUCUCUCUUAAACAAGCACUAGACAGUAAUAGCAUUCCUUUUACUUGAAGAUAAAGCUUUACCAUCUAGUAUGAGAAGUAACUUCACAUCUGAAAUGUAUGUAGGGUGUUAGUGCUUUGAACUUCUUAAUACCAAAUUGUGCACAGGUUAUGUCUUUAAGGAAUGUUACAGCAUCAGGGCAGGGUAUCUGUGUUCACAAGCUUAGGGGCUCAAUGCAUAAUAGUGCUGAAAAAAGUGGUAGAUUGAAAGUGUCCUUUAAACAAGUGUUUUUAAACAAGCUUCUUCAUGAUAGUUAGCAUGCGUGACCUUCUAUAUAGCAAGAUUCUAGCCAUCUCAGACCAUACCACAAGCAUUUACUUACUUUGUUACCCUUGUUUAAGGAAGGGGUUGGGGGCACACAAGCAAACCAAUCCUGAGCAAAGAAUCAACAGGGCACACUGCAAAUAUAAUAAAGAGGUUCAGUGAAAGGAACCAAAUAAUGAGAAAUCUAGGGCCUGCUCAAAGAACUAAGCUGGCAAGGAAAUGCAUAAACUGCAAAUAUUGACAUUCACAAAUCUGAAAACUCAAAGUAUAUAGAUAGUGAAAGACAUUUCAGUCAAGAUGACAUAACAUAAUUAACGUCUUCCUAAGAGAUUUUAAGACCUUAAAAUAAUGCAUUUUUUUUGGCAAAUUAACUUAGCUUUUAUGACUAAGCCAUGAGAAAGAAACCACACAUUAUAGGUAUUCUAUUUCAUCAGCCAGCCAUGUGCUCAUAUCCUGUGGUGCCGAGGCUAGAUGAUCUGCUGGUUGUUAAAGAGGUGCUCUUCUUCCAGUAGCAGUCCAUGUGCCUCAAGAGAAGCAGAGUGGCCCCAAAUACAAGACUAUAUUAGUAGAGCAGCCGAGUACGAUGUGCUGGGUUUGUGGUCACAUCUGAACAUGUGGAGGUAGGGGCCUCACAAAGAAGAAAACAUGUGGAGAACAUGCGAUGUUUGCCUUCCUGGAUCUGGACUACCUCACCGUUUCUGAGUUCAAUCCAUUCACCUGAAAAUGUCUUUUUAACAUCUGAGUAACAUUCCGUAGUGUACAUGCCCUGCCUCUUCGUUACUCGUCUGCUGAAAGACAUGUAGAAUGCUUGCAUUUCCUGGCUACUGUGAAUGGAGCAGCAGUGAGCAUGGCCCACCUGUGGGAGCAGGGUGCUGUUCCUUGAGCAUAUGUGAAGGAGCGGCACUGCCGGGUCACGUGGGAGAUGCAUGUCUGGCUUGCUGACCAUUUUCCACCUGGAUUAUCAGUGGACCAACCUGCAAUCCACUAACAGCAAGUAAGCAGCAUCUGCCACAGCCCGACAGAGCACCCCACUGGGUGUGCCUGUUGGUCCUUGCCAUUGUGACUAGCAUAAGAUGGGACUCUUAAAGUUGUUUGAUUUGCGCUUCCCUAAUCGCCAGGACUGAUGAGCACUGUUGAGAUAGUUCUCAGCCAUUUUUCUUUCUCUUUCUGAGAACUCUCAGUAAAGAUCUCAGAGUCAUUUUGUAACCUUUGUUUUCUAAAUUCUUUGUGUAUUCUGAAUAUUAAUCUUCUGUCAGUUAUGUACCUGGCAAAGACUCUCUACCAUUCUGAGGUCUUCAUCUUCCCUUGAUUUUGUCUGUAACUGUACUAAAAAGCACAGUUUUAUGAAGUCCCACUUUUCAAAAGACAGCCAAUGGACUCUUCAGAAGGUCCUUUCCUCCCUGUGUCAUACGAACACUGCCUAGGUGUCUUCUAGCACUCUCUGUCUCUGGUCUCACAAGUGGGAUCCUUCCAUUUGGAUCUCAUUUCUGUCUGAGGUAACAAGACUUGGUUCUGAUGUCCUUCUUCUGCGAGUGACACCCACAUGUCUGUUUUCUGCCUGUACCAUUCUGUUUUACUCACUAUGCCUCUGUAUUGUAUCUUGAGACUUGGAAUGGUAAUUCUUCCUGCAUUACUUUUGUUCUUUUUGUCUAUCUGCAGUCUUUUGGAAUUCCAUAUCCAUUUUAGGGUGUUUUUUUUCUAUUUCUGUGACGAAUGAGAUGGAGAUUUUGAUUGGGACUGGACUGGAUCUGUAAUUGGCUUUUUGUAAAACCCUCAUGCUCGCCCGCCCUCAUGCUCGCCUGCCAUGAUUCUAGCACUUCAUGAACAUGGGGCUCCUCUCCACUUCCCAUGCUCCACUGGAGAGGUUCCUUGCCUCUCUGUUAGGUGUGUUCACGCUUCCCUUCUUUUCUCUGAGGCUAUCAUGAGUUCGAGUGUGCCCAUGAUCGCCUUCUCUAUGCUUGUAGUUGCUGUAUAGAAAAGCUAUUGGCUUGUUGAUUCUGUAUCCUGCUAGAUUGCUGAAAGUGGGCCUCAUUUCUACAAGUUUUCUGGUGGUUUUGGGGAUCUCUUAUGUAGAAUACAUCAUCUGCAAACAGAAACAGACAACGUCUCCUUUCCCUGUCCGUAUCCCGUCAGUUUUCUUCUCUGGCCUUACUGUUGCUUCCAGCAUAAUACUGAAAAGAAGUGGGGGCAGGGGGCAGCCUUGUCUCAUUCCUGGCUUCAGUGGGAUCACUCAAAGUUUGUCCUUUCCUGAGGAUGAUACUCUCUCUGUCCCUAUGGUUCUCUGUCCUCCCUCCUAGCUGGCUUACCAGCUCCCUGCAGCUGCUUACUCUUCUUCCCUGAGCUGCAUUUGUAGUCUCAGGCAACUGCCCUGCGAGGCGGAUGAUUACAAGCAGGUACAAACUUCUGGUAACAGUGAGCAGCUUCUUAACUUAGAAUAAAAACACAACACAUAGUAUAUUUAUAUCAAAACAGUAUUUCUGCCUUUCCUUCUUCAUUUUUGUCUUUCAAUAUUCAUAAUUUUCUUAUUCUUAAAAUUGUCUCUUGAAGAGUUUUAUAAAGCAGAAUGAAGGGGCCAAUUGUAUGCCAAACGUAACAUGCUUAGUUCAAUGAUCAGCAUAGGCUAUUUUAAAGACCCUUGAUUACAAUUAACAACUAAUCCACAUAAAAUCUUUAUUUCAGAAUCUUCCCCAGAAAGUUGACAGUGAUCAAGAAGAAUGAUGCCACAUGACCACAAUAUGGUGAGAUCCAAGGUCAGGUAGAACCAUUGCCACUGAGGUGUGCACAAACUCUCCUCCAGCCUUAGGUAUUUCCCUAAAGGGCUAAACACCUAGGCCUGCACUAGAUCUGAAUUGCUGGAUUGAUAAGACAAUCACAAGAAAUAUCACUGCUUCAGAAACUGCUUCAUAAGAACUCUUGGAGCUAUCUUUGCAAAACAUUUUCCUUCUCAGUCUCUUAGUUGAGCUAAGAAUCAAUUUCUAGAACCAAUGAUCCAAAAGCAAACUCUUACCAUAAUGGAAAAGUGUCUCUUCAUGGAAUACUAUUUGAAACAAAACUGUUCCAAUUUAUCUUCUAAGUGUCAAGCUGGUAAGAAUAAGAAAAUCCCAAAUACCCAGCCUCCCCUCUUCUACUAUACACACACACACACACACACACACACACACACACACACACACACACACAUGCAUGUGUGCGCUCUCUCUCUCUCACACACACACACACAUACACACAUCUUUCUCUUUCUCAUAUAUAUUAAUAGCUAACAAGUUUUACAGUUCCAAAAUUCUUCCUUAUGCCUAUCUGCAGACUUUUAAUGUUUUGUCUGUUUUUGAAAACAUUGUUUAAAACCAAUUUAGUCCUCAAUAUUAUCUCCUGGAGCAAAUCAGAUGCAUUUUUAUUUACUUUUCUUUAGGGAGGACCAGUUUCCUGUGACUCUGAUCUGGUACAUGAGACUCUGUACUGUCAGAGACACACAACAGCUGACUCAUGAAGAAAACCUUAGCUCCACAGUUUUAAUCACAGAAGUGUUUUGUUUUUGUUGUCUUUCCUAAAUAUGACCACGAGGGUGGAGGGAUGGUUCUCUGAUUAAGUGCUUGCUUGUCUUUCAUUUCUAUCAUCCUGGGAAUGGGGAGAAAAAAAUACCCUAACCAUUGGAAAAUUAAUAUCUUUCUUUAUUUAGCAUUUUAAACACAAAUGGCCAGUGAUCUGGAGAACAGAUCAUAAAAAUAAUCUGGAGUUGACCAAAGUGUGUUGGUGAGGGGUGGGAUUGCUUAAAAAGAUUAUUAUUAUUACAAGAUUAUUCCUGGAAAUGUAAAGUAGACUAUAAUGUAUAGUGUUUAACUAUGGCAAGUAAUUAUUUAAAAUGUAAGGUGCUGUGCAGCCUAUAUGGUGCUAUGUAUAAUUAGCUAUGGCAUCACUUGGAGACCUAUAGAUAAUAUAACUGUUCUAACUUCAGACUGAAACUACUAGAAUAUCUUGACAAAUAAAAUAUAAAGGAUGAGUAGAGAGAAUGAAGACUGGAGAUAAUUACUGUGUAUUACUAAAAUGUCUGUAACUAUGUCUCAGGCGAUACAUUCUGAGACCCCAUGGGAAGCCUGGAACACCAUGCAAGUCCCAUUAAUUAUCCCUGUCCAUUCACUUCUGUUCAGACUCUUGUCAUAGCGGACACAUUUCCCUUAACUUAAGCUGGUCACAGAACCUGAUUUAACCAACAAAAUGGGCAGAAUGUACUCUGGGAAACUUCAGAAUCUAGACUUUGAAAAGUACAGCUUCUCAGAUGUGGACUUGCAGGUCGCCUUGGUGAAGACCUCUGUUGCUCUGACUCCUCAGGCCUCGGGAUCUGCCAGAAGCAGGCAGAGGAUGAAGGCUACUGCGGACCAGCCUUUCUGCCAGGUGGCCCUGACGAGUGACCUGACUGACAGCACCUAUGGGAGCCCAUGCUGAGCCAGUGGCUUUCGGGCUGCCUUUCCCUCCUGAGCUCUGUCGGUGCUAUGAUUUGUUCUGUGAAGGAGCAGUGAAACCAUCUAUCUUCUGGAACACACUGUUAGAAUACUAAGUCACAGGGUGGGUCACGGGGCAGGGAAGCCUGUGGAGUGUGGCUUUCGUUUGCCCUGCACUCAGGAGCACAGUGACUCUAGAACCUUCCCUUGGCACGUGGGGUGAGUCUGCUGCAGUUACUCAUGAAAUCCUUCAGUAGCAUUCUCAGAAAUUCAGAGUGACAAGAAUGACUGAACAAACCAACAAACAGGGUGCAGCUCUGAACCCCUCUCUGAAUCCCUACCAUGCUCUGAGGAGGUCCACGUGCAGCCUCUGUCAGCCAGGAGGACACACUGUGUGGCCUUUCCCAGUGUCCAUGCUAGAACAUAAAGGGCUGAAGAAGACAGACAGACAGACAGACGGAUAGGCGGAGCCAGCCCUCAAAGGCAGAAUAGUAAAUGAGUACUGUUUGCAGCCAAUAAACUUCCAGGCUGUUUUCUAUAGCAAUACUAACUGAAAGAAACACUCCUUAAAAAUCUAUCUCAAAAUUGUCACCACCAGAAUCUGAUGUCCAGUAAAGCUUCAGAACAUUUGGCCUCAGUGACUACUGAAACAGAAAUGGAAAACCACAGUAGAGCCUAACUUUUCAGAGCUGCUGACGGUUCCAUUUGGGUUAAGUUGAAAAUCAAAACAUGACUCAGUAUUUAAGUCAAAAUGUGUCACAAAAUUACUAUUCCUUCUAAGUUACUGUUCGAGAAGUCACUAAGUCCUGAACAGUAAGGGCAGCAGUUACUGCAGAAUGGGCAAAUGGACAACAGGCUGGUUUUCCUUCUGACAACAUAGCACUUAGGUUAUUAGCUUUGUAUUCUGCAGACUCUGCGUCCUGUAGUCCAUGUCAUAUGAAGAAAUACAUAUAACAGAGCAUGAAACACUGAAUUCUACCCAACUGAGCCAUUUUAUAGCACUUACAGCCCAAGGACAAACAUGCUGAUGAAGCACUGUGUCCUGAUGACCAGCAGAACUCCUGCUCACAGAUAUUUGUCCUUGUGAGGGGUCUAGACUACAACCCAAUGCCUUUAAGUGUCUGUUAAUAAACCCCAGUGUCUUACUAUACCGUGAAAUGUGUUUAAUCCACAUAAAUUCCCCUUUUACAGCAGCUCUGGCUAUCACAGUCUUCCCACCAGAUCUAAGGUGAGGUUUACUGAUGAAGGGCAAACACCACCUCCAGCCGUGUCGCAAUCAGCAAACUCCCAUGUGCAAGGCAAGGGCCCUGCGCUACCAAGCCACUGAGAGUCCCUGUCUGCACGGCAGAACUCCUACUUUGUAUUUAAUAAAAGGUAGGAAGAGCUAGAAUUCCAUAUAAAUAUCACAAAUCUUCAAGUUUCUUACAGAUUAAGACUUUAAAAAUUAAAGAGAAUGUAAAAAUCUCAUGUUGUACCAGAUAUUUUAUUUAAUGUAGUAAAAGUUUCUGAAAAAAGGAGAAUUUCAGUGAUUAACUCAACUUUAAAACAAUUUUUAAAAUAGGCACUGAGAGGCGUUUCAGGAGUAAAACCGUACUUGGCUAGCAGUGUAGAGCACCUAUCGUGAGACUCUGUGAUUCUCUAGAUCUCAGCUAGGCUAGCGUGUUUCUCAGUUGCUACCACAGAAUACACAUUGAAGACAUUCUUCACUCUCGGACGUGACCCCCAGGCUCAGCUAAGCUGUGGCUGAAAUGGUGCCCAAGCCCUUCCAUGCUCACACAGAGCAGCUCUUGGGCUGUAAAGGGGCCUUUGAAAGACACGGAGUGAACAUAAUGAGGAGAAAGGACUGGUGAAGAGAAAGGGCCGCUUCUUGUGCGCUAUGAAUUAUUUAUUCCAUCAAGCCAUGGACUCACUAUUUCUAACUAACCCUCUAUCAGGGCGCUCUCAAUAGUGAACCCCAAGAAUGAAAAGUUGCAAGAUUACCACUCCUUAGCCAAUCUGUAAUGUCUUCCCUGCUUAGGAAUUAAUCACAUAGUAGAUUGUAUUAUAUCUAAAAUUUAUAUCUCUAAUUACAAAUUUUGUAAAGCAGACUAAUUUUUAAGUGACCCAAAAUCAGCAAGUAGCUUUCCUGAUAGCCUUCAGGCAUUAGCAAACCACUCCUCUGUCCUUCAUUUGGGAAGCUGGGUGUAGACGUGCUUAUGCACCAACCCUCUCAGCUGUCCUGACAAAUAACCAAGCACCUGAAGACAUAGCCUCUCUGCUGCAGGGUGAUACUGAGAUCUAGCUCACGGAAGACUCUGGAAAGGGAGUCCUGGCUCUUGAUCAGCAGAGACAAGCUAGAGUCAGAUUUCUCCCACAACCAUUAAUAACACUUGCUUCUUUAAAUUAUUAAUGGAGAUUAAGCCUCCUCUGAAUAAGGGCAGAGAUAACACUCUGGCUUCUUGAAAGAAAAACAGGCUAGUCCAAACUCCAAUAGAUGGACAGCCUGGCCCCAUCUCCCCACAAAACAAUUCACUUUAGAAAUAUGAACAAGAUGCUAACGGCACACAGCUAAGAGUCUUCCCAGGAAGAUGUGGAACUGAACGCGUAUCUCAGGCAGGAGGUAGGAAACAGGUCUCUAACCUAACACCGUGUGCAAAAUUCAACUCAAACUAGAUUAAAAACUCAAACAUUAGACUGCAAAUUAUAGACACCUGAGAAGAAAAUGGAGGGACAUGGCUUUUCAUUGGCCUUGGCAAUGAUUGUUUAGGACAUGAGUCCAAACCAGAGAUGAGAGAAACUUAACAAAUGGCAUUAUAAACUUAAAAUAUCUGCACAGCAAGACUGAAGAGACAGCCUAUCAGAUGGUAGAAAAAUAUUUGAAAAUCAUAUAUCUGAUAAGACAUUAGUUUCUAAAACAUAGACGAAAUAAACUGUUCAGCAGAACUGAGAAUUCAUUUCUUAGAAAAGAACAUAGGAGUGGAGAGCUGAGGUUCAAUUAGAGCAAAACCUCAGUUCACAAGUAAAGAUCUAUAACUUCUCUGCCUUCUGGCUAAGAUCAAAUGCAGUAAGAAGCAAAAGUUACCAUGCUGAAUAGUUUCUGACAAUAUAACAUAAUUUGAAUAUGGCUAGGAAGACUAGGUUUCUUCAACAUAAGAACUAAGAGGUAGCACAUUUGUUAGCUUAAUUAAGCCAUUUCACAAUAUAUUCAUAGUAAAAUCAUGUUGCAUAGCAUAAAUAUUUAUUUAAUUUUUCAGCCUGAAAAUAGUCAAAACAUUAUUUUGUGAACAAGUGAAUUUGUAUUUGAAGUUUCUCUGUAACUUGAAACCUACAGAGAACACAACUUCUUCAGAAGUCACACACUCUAACAUCACACUUCUUACACUUCCUCGGUGUGGAAGUAAAAUCACGGAUGCUGAGGAGCAGCUGUCGAAGCUCACCUGCCCUCCUCUUCGCUAAGAUGUGAAACCACAGGUCUAGACCAGGAAUCCACAUGCUGGGAAGAAAGGAUCAACUCGUGCAAUCUGUCCUCUGCUCUCCACAUGCCUACAGGGACGCGUGCAAGGGACCAGCCAGAGCCAGCCAGAAGGCUCAGCGGUGUAGCACACACAAGCAACCCUCCCGGCCUGAGACUGACCGCUGAUACCCACCCGCUGGGAGGAGAACACACCUGCACAGUUGUCCUCUGCUCUUCCCCUGUGUGUCAUGUCACACGGACACACACACUUGAAAAAUACAUGCUUAAAAACGAAGUCUUUUUAAAACUAUGUAUGUUGUGCAUCAUCCCUAGCAUCCUCUCUAACAUCUGCCAGUCUCUGGCUACAUUGAAUUCCUCUUACUUCUAUUUUCCCCAGAAAAGCCAGGUGGUAAGACACAAGCAUUGGCCAUUCUUAAACCGGUUUUAUGCAGUGAGAAUUGGGCUGUAGGGCAGUGAGAAGCCAUCUCUGUGUCAUGAUGGUCCACAUGAGAGAUACAUUACCCAGAACAUGGCACAACAAUGGUUAAAACCCUGUGUUCAUUUGCUACACAUCCCCACUAAUCCUGUGACAGUAUCCUGGAAUCCUACUGGAGGGCAUGCAUUAAUGUUUUUAAAGUUUUUAAAGGACUAUGCCUCAUGAGGCACAUGCCCAACAACUUUUAUCCUGGAACUCUAUCAUGAAGAUAAAGAUAUAAACAUUCAGACAGGUAGAACACCUGACUGCAAAUAUUCAUGAUGAAAAAUAAUAUGUCUAAUGUAAGGAGAGAUGCUACCUCCCACCAAACAAUUAUAAUGGAGCAAUAUGAAUGUUUAUGGAGUUUUAGUUUAAAAGGAAUUUUUCAACGUCAAGUGGUAUUUGUAGAUAAAAUUUAAGGAUCUACCCUAACCAAACAUUCUGUUACAUUGAGACUCACACAGAUAUGGGUAGAAUCCUAUAUUUUAAAGAGGUGUUAGGUAUGUAGGAGAAGAAAAUGAUCUACAUUCUGAAAGAUAUAUAUUUGAUUGUAGCUAGGGAAAUGGCUCAGUAAGUAAUAUGCUUGUCAUGCAAUGUGAUGACCCAAGAUGGGUAUUCAACAGGACCCACGUAAAAAACCAGGGGUACUGACCCUACCCACAAUACAAAAGGAUAAGGGUACAGGAACAAAUAACUUCAAGGUUAUUUGGUAAAGCCUCAAGGAAUCAUGUUUACAUAAAGGUAUGCACAACACGGGUUAAGUGUGGUACGUACACACACACACACACACACACACACACACACACACACACACACACGCACAUGUCUAAGCCACUUAGGAUGACACAGACUUAAGAAAAACCCCAGUGCCAGACACAAGCAGACUCCUUUUACAGAGUCAAGGUAGUCCAAAAGAGGCUGAGAACAAUACAGACCUUAGUUGCCUACUAGGGGUCGAGGGUAGGUUACUAUGACACAAAACGUGAAGGAUUCAAACUGGAUCUGACCUGAAAGCCUCUUUGCUGUGUCUAGUCUCCAUGAUACCAGAAAAUACUAUGCAAGCUGCCAAAGAAGGGAAACAAUUAAACAGUCUUACACAGCGGCAAUGCUUUUGAACCACAAUGGCCUACAAGGCCAGAUAUCCAUAAGGAAUACCUAACCCUAAUGUGGCAUUCAUAUGUGGGUGGUGACCAACAGCUGUCUAAUUGGACAUACGGCCAACUCAAGAGGAAGAAACCGUGUCUUGUUCUGGAAACCUAACUAGCUUCAUGAUCCCUAGAAAACAAGCUGCCACCAUCAGUUUGCUAGAGUAGGAGAAUUCCUUACUACAUUCUAAAUGUUAGCCUCACACCCACAGGUAACUGUGACACAAUGCAGAGAUCAACAGGUCUUCAGGAGCCCUGCCCGGACAGGUACAUCUACAUCAUAGCUCUGUAUCUGUGACUUAGGGAACCCUGUGGGAGAGGGGCAAAAAGAAGACCUGUAUAUGUCUGUUCUAGUCUCUCCU